rnacentral:tRNA from 1 species
GUGAGUGUAGUUUACUGGUAGAGCACAUGCUUAGCAUGCAUGAGAUCGUGGGUUCAAUCCCUAGUCUCUCCA